rnacentral:lncRNA from 1 species
AGAUUUUUCCCUGGUAUACAGAUGGCUCUUGUCUCCGAAAUGAAUCUGGCAUUUUAGUGGCCGGAUAUGCCAUCACUACCACUGCAGAAGUCAUUGAAGCAGGACAUCUCCCUUCGGCAUUUUCUGCUCAGCAAGCCGAAUUGGAAGCAGUAACCAGAGCCUGUGAGCUGGCCAAAGGAAAGCGGGUAAACAUAUAUACGGAUAGCAGUUUUCUCUUGCAGCAGCAAGGAAGCGGACGGAUACCAAAGGAGGAGCCUGCCAGAGGACAGAAGUCUGUGAGAGAGGAGGCAGAAGGCAUCAUCAGGACCCACCAGAAGUGAAAGACUUGAGACUUUGGGAAUUGGGGUAGUGUUUUGAUUGUUAGUCAGUUUUUGGCCAAAGGCUGACUGCCUGCCUUUCUGGCUCAAUUGUCAAUGCGCCGGUGGCAUUGGGGAACGCCCCCAAAUGCCAAUCACCAGUAUCUGUGUCCCUAGACUUUCCCACCAGUAGGGGAUGGAGUCCAAUCCCAUAUAGCAUUACUCAUUUGUCCAUGUUUGGUCAGCGACGUUCGGUCUUGACCAAAAGGGGGGUGUGUCAACAUGGAAAUCUAGAGAUCCCCAGUUUAUUUAGUUGGAGUAUAGGAAUCCCAGGUUUUGACUUUCUCACGGGGACCCUCCCCUGAGGGAAGGUCCCUCUUCACCAGACAGUGAACUUCCUGGUAGUUUGGGUGGGAACAGCAAAUCCCAUCCAAUGUUAAACAUCCCUUUUGUCCCAAUGGUUUCUUCCCCCUAGGCUAAAGUCCACUACCAAGGUGACCCAGCCCUAGGCUGAGUCUUUCCCUUUUGUGUCCAUUGUGGGGCCCCCCAACCCCUCACUAUUAUUCCUGUCUGGAACUUCUCAUUUUCCUUUCCCACCAUUGUAAAGUCAAUCAACUGUCCCUCUAAUCCUAAAGCCCCCAGGUCAUCUAGAGUGGUACAUAGGUUCCCCAAGUUCUUUUGUUCCUCGGAGUCCAUCCUGAGUCGGUGGCACUCCCAGGGGCUGGUGACCAGAGCGUCUUGACUCCGGUGCAGUCUUGGAAAUCAGCUCUGUUGUCGUAGUAGCAGCGCUAACCCCUUUUCCCUUGAUUAAAGAGUGAUUUUGACUAUUUAAUAGUUCUGUGUUUUUCCAAGUUGACACUCCCUACAUAUUUUC